UAUUUUUCUUUAUAGAUGGGUGACAAAUCCACUCAUGCUGCUUGUAUGGGUGCAACUGUAUCUAUUAUAGCUACUAGUGCUGUUAUUAUUGAAAAAUAUAAAAAUAUACCAAGAGAGCCUCGUAUAAAUGGAGAUGUUGAAAGAGAAUACUAUAUGAAUAGUUUCUUAUAUCGAGGUGAUAGGCACUGUUGAGCAACUUCGAAUGACACCUCUUGCAUUUAAUAAUCUUUGUGAUAUCCUUACUAGACAUAACCUUUUACGGUCAACUACAAAUAUGUCUAUUGAAGAACAAGUAUUUAUCUUUUUAGAAAUUGUUGGACAAAAUACCAGAUUUCGUAAAAUUGCUAGAAUAUAUUAUAGGUCGGUUGAAACUAUUCAUCGAUAUUUUAGAAUUGUAUUAAACACAAUUCUAA
rnacentral:misc_RNA from 1 species